rnacentral:rRNA from 1 species
AUUGAACGCUGGCGGCAUGCCUUACACAUGCAAGUCGAACGGCAGCACGGGUGCUUGCACCUGGUGGCGAGUGGCGAACGGGGGAGUAAUACAUCGGAACAUGUCCUGUAGUGGGGGAUAGCCCGGCGAAAGCCGGAUUAAUACCGCAUACGAUCUACGGAUGAAAGCGGGGGACCUUCGGGCCUAGCGCUAUAGGGUUGGCCGAUGGCUGAUUAGCUAGUUGGUGGGGUAAAGGCCUACCAAGGCGACGAUCAGUAGCCGGUCUGAGAGGACGACCAGCCACACUGGAACUGAGACACGGCCCAGACUCCUACGGGAGGCAGCAGUGGGGAAUUUUGGACAAUGGGCGAAAGCCUGAUCCAGCAAUGCCGCGUGUGUGAAGAAGGCCUUCGGGUUGUAAAGCACUGUUGUCCGGAAAGAAAUCCUUGGCCCUAAUACGGUCGGGGGAUGACGGUACCGGAAGAAUAAGCACCGGCUAACUACGUG